rnacentral:rRNA from 1 species
GUUGAACGCUAGCGGGAUGCCUUACACAUGCAAGUCGAACGGCAGCAUAAGAGAGCUUGCUCUCUUGAUGGCGAGUGGCGAACGGGUGAGUAAUGUAUCGGAACGUGCCCAGUAGCGGGGGAUAACUACGCGAAAGCGUAGCUAAUACCGCAUACGAUCUGAGGAUGAAAGCGGGGGACCUUCGGGCCUCGCGCGAUUGGAGCGGCCGAUGGCAGAUUAGGUAGUUGGUGGGAUAAAAGCUUACCAAGCCGACGAUCUGUAGCUGGUCUGAGAGGACGACCAGCCACACUGGGACUGAGACACGGCCCAG